CACGUAGGGGGCGAGCGUUGUCCGGAUUUAUUGGGCGUAAAGAGCUCGUAGGUGGCUUAGUAAGUCGGGUGUGAAACCUCCAGGCUCAACCUGGAGACGCCACCCGAUACUGCUAUAGCUUGAGUCCGGUAGGGGCAGAGGGAAUUUCCGGUGGAGCGGUGAAAUGCGUAGAGAUCGGAAAGAACACCAACGGCGAAAGCACUCUGCUGGGCCGACACUGACACUGAGAGACGAAAGCUAGGGGAGCGAAUGGG
rnacentral:rRNA from 1 species